rnacentral:rRNA from 1 species
CAUCGCCGCGGUAAUACGAAGGGGGCUAGCGUUGCUCGGAAUUACUGGGCGUAAAGCGUGCGUAGGCGGUUCGUUAAGUCUGUUGCGAAAGCCCCGGGCUCAACCUGGGAAUGGCAAUGGAUACUGGCGAGCUAGAGUGUGUCAGAGGAUGGUGGAAUUCCCGGUGUAGCGGUGAAAUGCGUAGAGAUCGGGAGGAACAUCAGUGGCGAAGGCGGCCAUCUGGGACAACACUGACGCUGAGGCACGAAAGCGUGGGGAGCAAACAGGAUUAGAUACCCGAGUAGUCCCUGUCUCUUAUACA